rnacentral:rRNA from 1 species
UACGUAGGGGCAAGCGUUAUCCGGAUUUACUGGGUGUAAAGGGAGCGCAGACGGCAGUGCAAGUCUGAUGUGAAAGCCCGGGGCUCAACCCCGGAACUGCAUUGGAAACUGUACAGCUUGAGUGUCGGAGAGGUAAGCGGAAUUCCUAGUGUAGCGGUGAAAUGCGUAGGUAUUAGGAGGAACACCGGUGGCGAAGGCGGCUUACUGGACGAUUACUGACGUUGAGGCUCGAAAGCGUGGGGAGCAAACAGGAUUAGAUACCCUGGUAGUCCCUGA